AGCCGAGUCACCACAGGUUUUCCUGCAGGUGAUUCUUGGUGGGGUUGGGACCUCCUGAGCAGUGCAGGGACAGGGGACAGCCCCGCAGGAACAAGGGGACAGCUGGGUGUGCAGGACCCACAUCCCUCCUCCCUUGUGGAGCAGGAUGGGCUGUGGACGGGCUGUGGGGGCUCCGGGCACGGGCACACGGCUGGGGGCAGAUGGGCACCUGUGAGCUGGAGGAGCCGAAAGCUGAGAAACGGUCCCCAAAAUCACUGUCACUUCGAGGUUUCAGGAACCUCACAGGGCAUGGGCACAGCCCCAGGGUGCCCACCCUCUCACCUCCACCUCACAGGGAGCAGAGGCAUCCCCUCAACGGCUGCUCCCAGCUGCCUGCCCACAGCAGGGGGCAAUGUGGAGAGGUGGAGACAAGGGAGAGAAGGAGCAGAAGGUCCCAAAUUGCAUCUCCCAGCCCUGCUGCACUGCUCUGCACUGCACAAGCCAACACCUCCAGUACCUGUGCAGGCACAGAGCCUCCCUUCUGGUGGUGGGGGGCUGCCACCGUCCUGGCUGAGCCCUGAAAGACGCUCAGCUACCUCCCACCAGCUAGAACACUAAAACAGCAUCCCCGGCAGAUGGAUGGCAUCUUUAUAUAUCCAGUGCUCGCUUUUUUGGGGGGCUGCUGCCGUGCCUGUUUGCUUCCCCCAGAUGGUGCCUGAAGCAGUGGAGGGGAUGGCUGGGGACAGGGCUGCGUGACAGCCCUUCAGGAAAGCUCUGCCGCAGCGCGUGGGGCUUCUCGGCCAUCAAUCAUUUAGAGCCGUUAAUUUUUAAUGUGCAAAAAUCUCUCUAAGUAAGGAGCCCGGCGUGGAGCGAGGCUGAUGAUUAAUUCAGGCAGUGACGCACCAGGGGCUGCAGCUUGCGCAGGGUCCCACUGCUGGGGACCGGCCACGGGGCAAACGGGGUGGCUGGGAGGGGACAGAGCUGCCGUAGCCGGUGUCACACAUCAUUGUCAGCCCCAGCUGGGUCACAGAUAAGCAGUGCUGUGGUGGCACUUUGUGGUGUCCCCCCUGGCACUGGCUGCAGCAGGAGCUGCUCAGAGCAGGGUCUCCCCCAGCCCUUCCUCCCACCCAAACCUCCCAUGGGGCUUUGGAGAGGGUGAGGCAAAUCGAGAGGCUGGCAGUGAGUAUGAGUUAACCAGGGAAUAACUUAUAAACAGCACCAGGAUGGGGAAAAAAGCAUAAAAUGAGGGCUUUUUGUUCCAGCAAAUGGCCUGGCUGUGCUGCUCACAGCCCGGGCUGCGAGGAGCUGUGCCAGCGGGAGGGCACGCGUGCCCCUGCUAAAACAGCUGCCUCUUCAGAAGUAGGGGAGAAGAUGUUAAUGAAACCCAUGGGACUGCUGAGCCCCUUGUCCCAGGGUUUUAAAAUUUAAAAUUUUAAGUAUUUGAGGAGCUCUGUUUACCACUCUUGCCUUCUAGUUAAAAGGUGGUUGGGGGUGUGCCAUUUCGGGGAGGAUGUCGGAUCCACCCCCCAGUGACCCCUAACAGGUACUUCCAGUGUUGGCUGGCACCACAAUGAGCAAUUU
rnacentral:lncRNA from 1 species